GUGAUGGGAACUUUGGAGAAAGUGAGAGUCUUUGAGGACAAGAAGAACCACUCCAAAGGCUCCCUUGGGUCUGUGUGGGGGAGAAAGCUUUACAUGUCAGAAUCUGACAGACUUGGACUUCCAAUCCCGGAUCCACGUGUACUUAUCUGUAGGUUCUUGGAAAGCUCUUUAAACAGUCUGAGUCUCCACUUCCUCAUCGACACAGCCUUGUGAAUUCAGAACACCAGGGACAAAGAGAAGACCUGCAAAUCUUUCAGAAAUUAUUUU
rnacentral:lncRNA from 1 species